rnacentral:lncRNA from 12 species
CUGUAAUAAAGUGAUUUGACAUGGAGUUCUGUGAUAGUUAUGAUAUCUGCUGAGAAGCUGAAAGACACCUCAGUUCACAAAAGUGAGGUUCAUCCACCUUGCUCCCAGAGGUGCCCACUGGGAGGAGCCGUCCCGUUCCAGGCGCCGUUCCAGUGCCCGAUAAAGCUCCAGGGAGCCCCGGGGCCAUUGGGAUGCUGCGCCGUGUCCGUGCCGCGGCGCGGGGGCUGCGGGCGUUCAUUGGCCCCGUGCUGGGUGGGAUGACAUCGGCCCCGCUUCCCAUAGGGCCUCCAGCUUGCCCCGAUGUCUGCUGAGGGGAGAAAACCAUCACACUACACCCUCUGGGCUCCAAUGAGAACGCAGACAGCUUCAGCCAGGGAUAAAAGAACUUUAAAAAAAGACUGUAGUCUUGGAGCUGCUAUUAACGAGAGAUGAAUUGCAAGAGACCAUUUCAUGCCAAGGGACUUCAGAG